GAAUGAAGAACGUAGCGAAAUGCGAUAAGUAAUGUGAAUUGCAGAAUUCAGUGAAUCAUCGAAUCUUUGAACGCACAUUGCGCCCGCCAGUAUUCUGGCGGGCAUGCCUGUUCGAGCGUCAUUUCAACCAUCAAGCCCCCGGCUUGUGUUGGGGACCUGCGGCUGCCGCAGGCCCUGAAAAGCAGUGGCGGGCUCGCUGUCACACCGAGCGUAGUAGCAUACAUCUCGCUCUGGGCGUGCUGCGGGUUCCGGCCGUUAAACCACCUUCAUAACCCAAGGUUGACCUCGGAUCAGGUAGGAAGACCCGCUGAACUUAAGCAUAUCAAUAAGCGGAGGA
rnacentral:misc_RNA from 1 species